rnacentral:rRNA from 1 species
AGGUCAAGCAAAUCCCAUAAAGUUGUUCUCAGUUCGGAUUGUAGUCUGCAACUCGACUACAUGAAGCUGGAAUCGCUAGUAAUCGUAGAUCAGCAUGCUACGGUGAAUACGUUCCCGGGUCUUGUACACACCGCCCGUCACACCACGAGAGUUUGUAACACCCGAAGCCGGUGGAGUAACCAUUUUGGAGCUAGCCGUCGAAGGUGGGACAAAUGAUUGGGGUGAAGUCGUAACAAGGUAGCCGUAUCGGAAGGUGCGGCUGGAUCACCUCCUUUCUAAGGA